rnacentral:rRNA from 1 species
GAUAAACGCUGGCGGCGUGCCUAACACAUGCAAGUCGAACGCGCUUUCGGCAACGAAAGCGCGUGGCGGACGGGUGAGUAACACAUGGGUAACCUACCCUGCAGUGGGGGAUACCGGCGAGAAAUCGCCGUCAAUCCCGCAUGCGCUCUGCUUGGGCAACCGGGCAGAGCAAAGUCGCAAGACGCUGCAGGAUGGGCCCGUGGCCGAUUAGCUGGUUGGUGGGGUAAGAGCCUACCAAGGCGACGAUGCGUAGCCGACCUGGGAGGGUGAUCGGCCACAUUGGGACUGAGACACGGCCCAGACUCCUACGGGAGGCAGCAGUGGGGAAUAUUGCACAAUGGGGGAAACCCUGAUGCAGCAACGCCGCGUGAGCGAUGAAGGCCUUCGGGUUGUAAAGCUCUGUCUUCGCUGAAGAAUUUUGACGGUAAGCGAGGAGGGAGCCACGGCUAACUACGUGCCAGCCGCCGCAGUAACAC